GUAAUUGCACCAUCAAAUGCGUUCUCGAUUUGUGUUGCAGUUAAAGAGGUAGUUGAUGCAAAUUCAUUUAAGAACCAAGCUCGCUUAUACCAUAAAUAUAAGAGAGCUAUAUCAUAGUCAACGUUAUCGUUCUUUUUUCUUGUUUUCCCUAUUAAGGAUUUUAACAAAAGUGAAACAAUUUCAAGUGCCUCGAGGAGCUUCUCUGUAUCAUUGACAUUUAUGAUUUUCUUUGAUAGACCAAGUUGCUGAUUAUGGGGUUUGAAAUAGGCCAG
rnacentral:rRNA from 13 species